CACAUUUUUUGUUUUGCUUGUUUUGUUUUGUUUUUUUGAGAUGGAGUCUCACACUUUCGUCCAGGUUGGAGUGUAUGAGCCGAGAUCGCGCCAUUGCACUCCAGCCUGGGCAACAAGAGUGAAACUCUAUCUCAAAAAGAAAAGAAAAAAAAAAAAGCACCAAGCCAUGCAGGAUUUGCCCCCAUGACCCAAGCACCUCCCACCAGGCUCCACCUUUAACACUGGGGAUUACAUUUCGACAUGAGAUUUGUGGGGACAAAUAUCCAAACUACAUAGGUCCUAUAAAGUAAAAUUAAGUUUAAGACUAAUGAAAUUCAGAUUAAACGCACCUGGCAAGACUAUCUUAUAGGUGAUGUGAAAUUCAAAUUGCAUCACAUCAAGAAGUUCCUCUAUCAGUGAUACUAAGUUUUGAGAACUGCAGAACUCUUGGCACAUGGCAACUGCAUACAAACCUCUGCACUAAGAGACUGGACCAAACUCUAGCAUGGAACCUAGCAGCAUGAGGCUGUGUCCCUAGAAUGACCCCCAGCCCCUUCGUAAAAUGCCUGCCUGAGAAAGCUCAACGUUUCCAGGAAAAUGUACUAUUUGUUCUAGCUAACACACAUUUGAUGAUAGGCCCAUGACCUCGCUUUCUUAGAGGAUUUGUUAUAAAGGGUUUGCAAUUGUUAUUGUGUAUCUCUUGCAACUCAGAAGCAUCUCUCUCAAGGCCCUGAAAGUUAGUCCUUUGAAAUACAAUCACCAGGAAGGAUAGGCCCUCUAUCUCCUGCCUGGGAAUCCUGUCUUAGAUAACUAGCAACUAGUAGACUCAGCUGGCCUAAGCACAUUACACUGACCAACCCUUUGUACUAUUACACUUCUCUGACUCUGCUGAGUCCCUGCACCCUCCCCUCUCUCAUCCGCCCUUUAAAACACCCAAAUCACCUCUGUAAAAAUUGGAACGGAGCUACACUCUUUCCGCUACCGUCAGAUCACUAAAUAAAAUCUGUUUUCACCACUUUAAGUAAUGUCCAGCUGUGUUUAUCUUUGACAGUAUGGUCAUGAAUAUAAUGAUACUAGCACAUGUUCUCCUUAAUAAUUAGUAUGAAGUCUGUAGGGUAAUACUCUGGCAUCAUAUAAACAUUGGUUCCUCAUUGGGCUAGGCAGCUUCUGAGAGGACCCCAGUGAUGCCCACCACUGGCAUUCAUCUGCCGCUGUAAUCUCCCCUUGAAUGUGGACUGGAUCUAGCAACUCUUCUAACAAGUAGAAUACAGCAGAAGUUGUGGGAUCGUCACCUCCAAUAUUAGGUUAUAAAAAUACUGUUGUUUCUGGCUCAGCCUGUGUUUCUCCUCACACUUGUGCUGGUGGAAGCAAGACUGAUGUACCUCUAUGGAGUGGCUUACAUAGUGUGGCAAAUCUGAGGCCCUCAGUCCAAAAGCCUUCAGAGAACUGAGGCCUGCCAAGAAGCACAAGUGAGCUUGGAAGCAAAGCACUCCGCCCUAGUCAUGUUUUGCAGCGACUGUGGCCCUGGCCAACAGUUUCUAUAAUUUCGGGGGGAGAGACCUUGAGCCAGCAGUAACUCCCUAAGCUGCUCCAUGAUAACCUGAUCCCUUGGAAACUAUAAGUUGAUUAAUGUUUGUUGUUUCCAGCUGCUAAAUAGGCCACAAUACGUAACUGAUACACCUACCUUUUAUUUCAUGGAUUUAACAUCAAUUAAUGAUUCUUGCUUUGCCUGAGUCAGCUAUUGUAUUGGGAGUUACAAAAUGGUGAUGUUCUUGGCUGGGCGUGGUGGCUCACGCCUAUAAUCCCAACACCUUGGGAGGCCGAGGCAGGCGAAUCACCUGAGAUCAGCAGUUUGAGGCCAGUCUGGGCAACAUAGUGAGACUCCAUCUCCACAAAAAAAUUUAAAAACCAGCUGGGUGUGGUGGUGUGUCCCAGCCACUUGAGAGGCUGAGGUGGGAAGACCACUUGAGCCCCAAAGGUUGAGGCUGCAGUAAGCUAUGAUGGCACUACUGCACUCCAGCUUGAGUGACAAAGCGAGACUCUGUAUAAAAAAAAAAAAA
ensembl:lncRNA